AAAAAAGUUAGCAGUUACUUCCUUCAACAAGUAAAAAGUAAAAGGAAAAUGGACAAUAAAAAAACAUAAAUUAGUUCAAAGCGAUCUAUGCAUUUCAUAAAGCCUUGUAAUUGUCAUCAGGGGUAAAUAUCAAGUGGUCAUUGUUAUUGUGCACAAUUUUUUUUUUCAGAGUAGACCGUAUGCGUUUUUGGUAUUUGGUGAAGUGCAGCAGUGGAAGGACUCACUGAUAGUUGAUCCUGCAACUUCCUGUGAAGUAGCAUAUAGUUAUGUUUUAACCUAGAACUUUAGUCACAAAUGGGUUUAUUUUAACUUGUUAAAUGUUUGUGUAAAAAUUAAUGCGAGACACAUUAAGUUUAAAAUAAAUCUCCUGGUACUGGUAUUAAAAUGUGCAAUUAUUAUCAAUUGUAUGUGGGCAAAUAUAUGGUUCAUAUUUUGUUAGAAGGUGAUAACCAUGCUUUGUUUAAUUUGCAUUUACAUUUGUUGCUGGGUUUCUUGUUUUAGAAUAAAGUUUCCUUGAGUUUUAAGGUGCUGAUGUUUAACUUUUAUAGGUUUAUCCUGCUUGGAAAUGG
rnacentral:misc_RNA from 1 species